GAUGAACGCUGGCGGCGUGCCUAAUACAUGCGAGUCGAGCGAACAGACGAGGAGCUUGCUCCUCUGACGUUAGCGGCGGACGGGUGAGUAACACGUGGAUAACCUACCUAUAAGACUGGGAUAACUUCGGGAAACCGGAGCUAAUACCGGAUAAUAUAUUGAACCGCAUGGUUCAAUAGUGAAAGACGGUUUUGCUGUCACUUAUAGAUGGAUCCGCGCCGCAUUAGCUAGUUGGUAAGGUAACGGCUUACCAAGGCAACGAUGCGUAGCCGACCUGAGAGGGUGAUCGGCCAAACUGGAACUGAGAAACGGUCCAGACUCCUACGGGAGGCAGCAGUAGGGAAUCUUCCGCAAUGGGCGAAAGCCUGACGGAGCAACGCCGCGUGAGUGAUGAAGGUCUUCGGAUCGUAAAACUCUGUUAUUAGGGAAGAACAAAUGUGUAAGUAACUAUGCACGUCUUGACGGUACCUAAUCAGAAAGCCACGGCUAACUACGUG
rnacentral:rRNA from 1 species